UCGGGUGUGGCGCAGCGGUAGCGCAGUUGACUGUUAAUCAAUUGGUCACUGGUUCGAAUCCAGUCACCCGAGCCA
rnacentral:tRNA from 1 species